AUUGAACGCUGGCGGCAUGCUUUACACAUGCAAGUCGAACGGUAACAGGCCGCAAGGUGCUGACGAGUGGCGAACGGGUGAGUAAUGCAUCGGAACGUGCCCAGUCGUGGGGGAUAACGCAGCGAAAGCUGCGCUAAUACCGCAUACGAUCUAUGGAUGAAAGCGGGGGACCGUAAGGCCUCGCGCGGUUGGAGCGGACGAUGUCAGAUUAGGUAGUUGGUGGGGUAAAGGCUCACCAAGCCAACGAUCUGUAGCUGGUCUGAGAGGACGACCAGCCACACUGGGACUGAGACACGGCCCAGACUCCUACGGGAGGCAGCAGUGGGGAAUUUUGGACAAUGGGCGCAAGCCUGAUCCAGCAAUGCCGCGUGCAGGAAGAAGGCCUUCGGGUUGUAAACUGCUUUUGUACGGAACGAAACGGUUCGGGUUAAUACCCUGGGCUAAUGACGGUACCGUAAGAAUAAGCACCGGCUAACUACGUGCCAGCAGCCGCCGUAAGAC
rnacentral:rRNA from 1 species